GAUGAACGCUGGCGGCGUGCCUAAUACAUGCAAGUCGAGCGAACGGACCCGAAUCUUCUUUCUCUGUUGUUAGCGGCGGACGGGUGUGUCACACGUGUAUAACCUACCUAUAAUACUGGGAUAACUUCGGGAAACCGGAGCUAACACCGGAUAAUAUUUUGAACCGCAUGGUUCAACAGUGAAAGACGGUCUUGCCGUCACUUAUAGAUGGAUCCGCGCUGCAUUAGCUAGUUGGUAAGGUAACGGCUUACCAAGGCAACGAUGCAUAACCGACCUGAGAGGGUGAUCGGCCACACUGGAGCUGAGACACGGUCCAGACUCCUACGAGAGGCAGCAGUAGGGAAUCAUCCGCAAUGGGCGAAAGCAUGACGGAGAAACGCCGCGUGAGUGAGGAAGGUCUUCGGAUCGUAAAACUCUGUUAUUAGGGAAGAACAUAUGUGUAAGUAACUGUGCACAUCGUGACGGUACCUAAUCAAAAAGCCACGGCUAACUACGUG
rnacentral:rRNA from 1 species